rnacentral:rRNA from 1 species
GAAUCUUGGGCAAUGGGCGCAAGCCUGACCCAGCCAUGCCGCGUGUGCGAAGAAGGCCUUCGGGUUGUAAAGCACUUUCAGUGGUGAAGAAAAGCCAGGGGCUAAUACCCCCGGGUCUUGACGUUAGCCACAGAAGAAGCACCGGCUAACUCCGUGCCAGCAGCCGCGGUAAUACGGAGGGUGCGAACGUUAAUCGGAAUUACUGGGCGUAAAGCGCGCGUAGGCGGUUCGGUAAGUGGGAUGUGAAAGCCCUGGGCUCAACCUGGGAACUGCAUUCCAAACUGCCGAGCUAGAGUGUGGUAGAGGGAGGUAGAAUUUCCUGUGUAGCGGUGAAAUGCGUAGAUAUAGGAAGGAAUACCAGUGGCGAAGGCGGCCUCCUGGAUCAACACUGACGCUGAGGUGCGAAAGCGUGGGGAGCAAACAGG